UACGUAGGGUGCAAGCGUUAUCCGGAAUUAUUGGGCGUAAAGAGCUCGUAGGCGGUUUGUCGCGUCUGCUGUGAAAACUGGAGGCUCAACCUCCAGCCUGCAGUGGGUACGGGCAGACUAGAGUGCGGUAGGGGAGAUUGGAAUUCCUGGUGUAGCGGUGGAAUGCGCAGAUAUCAGGAGGAACACCGAUGGCGAAGGCAGAUCUCUGGGCCGAUAUUGACGCUGAGGAGCGAAAGCGUGGGGAGCGAACAGG
rnacentral:rRNA from 1 species